AAAAUUAAACUAAUUCUACAAACCUUUUUUAUUAAAAAUACUUUUAAUUUGUAUUUUUUCUUAAACAGCGAAUUUUCAUGUUUUAAUAAUCUAAAGCCUAAAUUUAAUCUCUACUCCUGACAGGUGCAGUGAGUCAGUCUGGUGUUGAAGUCAUCCAGAGCCCUGGUGUUCUACUGCUGAAACCAGGGCAGUCUGCUGUCAUGAACUGCACCCAGAGCACCUCUCAAACAUACAUGUACUGGUAUCAACAGAAGAACAAUGGACCUCUAAAAUUUCUCUUCUCCACUGCUAACUCUGAGGAAGUAACAGAGAAGAAUGAUGGGAUCCCUGACAGGUUUACAGUGUCCAGGAAAAGUGUGCCAAAAACAGAACUCAUGAUUACCGGAGUUCAGCCUGAAGACUCCGCACUGUACUACUGUGCAGCUUCACCACAGUGGUGAACCAUGUGGACUCUCCUGUCUAAAAACUACAAGGAGAGAGCAGAGGAGUUCACAGCAGCGAUCAAUGUGCAGCAAUCUCCAGCUUCUCUCUUCGGAAGUCUGCACAAAACAACCCUCCUCACCUGCAAACACGAUGACAGCAGCUAUCAGUACAUGUUCUGGUACCGGCAAGUGAAAGGACAGCAGCACUUGGAGCUUGUUGGAUUUCUUAAUUAUGAAAUGGUCAACCAGGACAAAGAGUAUGAAGGAAAGUUUAACCUCUCAGGAAAUUCACAGGAAAGUGGCUCUUUGCUUAUCUCAGGCUUAAAAGCUGAGGACAGCGGCAUGUAUUUCUGUGCAGCUAGUAUGCACAGUGGUAAAAGCUCUCUUUAAGGCUGUCAAAAUACAUUAACCACUGCUGCAGCUGCAAC